GACGAACGCUGGCGGCGUGCUUAACACAUGCAAGUCGAGCGGUAAGGCCCUUUCGGGGGUACACGAGCGGCGAACGGGUGAGUAACACGUGGGUGACCUGCCCUCAGCUCUGGGAUAAGCCCGGGAAACUGGGUCUAAUACCGGAUAUGACUCCAUGACGCAUGUUGUGGGGUGGAAAGCCUUGUGCGGCUGAGGAUGGGCCCGCGGCCUAUCAGCUUGUUGGUGGGGUGAUGGCCACCAAGGCGACGACGGGUAGCCGGCCUGAGAGGGCGACCGGCCACACUGGGACUUAGAUACGGCCCAGACUCCUACGGGAGGCAGCAGUGGGGAAUCUUGCGCAAUGGGCGAAGCCUGACGCAGCGACGCCGCGUGAGGGAUGACGG
rnacentral:rRNA from 1 species